rnacentral:lncRNA from 1 species
UUUGUCAAUUCUUUGGCUUGUACAUUGGGCAUUUGAACAUUGCUCUCAGGCGUAUUCUUGACAUAACGUUUUCUUCAUACUUAUAGCUUGCCGGCAUCACAUUCCGGAAAUUGUACUGGCGGCAGUGAUUGAACUUUUGAAUCCAUCUGGAGGCCUUAAUAUUAAAUUGUUCCAACGGUUUCGAGAAAAUUGGCAAUCAAUGGAUUUGGCACAAUUCUCGACGGGAGUAUCUGAUGAACGCGUUAUGUUGGCUCUUGAUGGAGACGAAAUGGACUUUAUUCUUAAAUUUGCCACUGAGCAGUUAAAGACGUUCCAGCCAAGAGACGACUACAGAGAAAUGCUAUGUUUAGUCAUCAUCUUCCUCGGAGGAGUGCCACCUUCUGGCAUACGGUUUAUGGCUCCUGGCGCUAUAUCAAAAACUAGAUGGAUGGCGAAAGGGGUUUACUCUUUGAAAAUUUUUUUGUUUCAGGGUCAGUUCAAGUUGACCCCGAGAGAAAAAAAGGGAAUUUUUAUAAUCUGUAUUUUUCUCGUUAAAGUGUACAUGCGAUGGUGGUACAGAGCUCCAUCUGCCAUUGGUGCCCCAAUAAAUGAUCUUGAGGUCAUUGCAGACCUCAAGAAAUUUCGUAGCUUCGACGAGGAUACCGCUAAGGUUGCACUCCGAAAGGUGUCUAACCACCUUUGGUAUAUCAGUGAGAGUUUGGCGCCCUUAGCACUAUUUGAUGAAAGGAUAUCAUCAGACAGCAAGAGAGUCUUUGUUCACAACAUUAAGCAUAAAAUAGGGCUGCCGAAUCCACCUGUCCGCCUCAAUGUUUACGUAGAGGAAUGCCCGGAAAUGUCAGACCUUUUCACGACCAACAGUAUGGCCUUUUUUAAAAUAAUGCAUUUGCCAUAUUCAUUUUUGGAAUUCGACCCGACAACAUGGUCGGAAAACUCUGAAUAUCAGGAAGUAAAAAAAUAGUUAAGGCAUUGAGGGUUGUUAAUAACCAUGCAGAGCGUAGCAUCAAGCUAAUGUCGGCGCACAACAGGAAAGUUACUUCAGAAGACAGGUUUCAAGAUCUUCUGCAAGUUGCAGCUAAAACCAAUUAAAAUGUACGAAAAUCCAAAAAAUGUCGGAUCAAAAUGUUGAAGCUUUGAAUCUUUAGAUAAAUUUCUAUAUAUUUUUAGUCGAUUAAAUUUCAAUUGUACCUUUUCUUUAA